rnacentral:rRNA from 1 species
UACGGAGGGGGCUAGCGUUGUUCGGAAUUACUGGGCGUAAAGCGCGCGUAGGCGGAUCUGCAAGUCGGGGGUGAAAUCCCGAGGCUCAACCUCGGAACUGCCUUCGAUACUGCGGGUCUCGAGUCCGGGAGAGGUGAGUGGAAUUCCUAGUGUAGAGGUGAAAUGCGUAGAUAUCUGGAGGAACACCGGUGGCGAAGGCGGCGUUCUGGACUGCAACUGACACUGAUGAACGAAAGCCAGGGGAGCAAACGGG